GAAAAUCACGGGUUUACGUUUU
rnacentral:siRNA from 1 species